ACAGGAUUAGAUACCCUGGUAGUCCACGCCGUAAACGAUGGGUGCUAGGUGUCGCGAGCUUUGACCCCUGCGGUGCCGUAGCUUACGCAUUUAAGCACCCCGCCUGGGGAGUACGGCCGCAAGGCUAAAACUCAAGGGAAUUUGACGGGGGGCCCGCACAAGCGGUGGAGCAUGUGGUUCAAUUCGACGCCACGCGCAGUACCUUACCUGGGCUAGAAGACACAGGGACCUGGUCGAAAGGUCGGGGUGCUCUUCGGAGUAACCUGUGGUUAUGUGCUGCAUGGCUGUCGUCAGCUCGUGUCGUGAGAUGUUGGGUUAAGUCCCGCCACGAGCGCGACCCCUGUCGUUAGUUGCCAGCGGUUUGGCCGGGCACUCUAACGAGACUGCCGAUAUUCAUAAUCGGAGGAAGGUGGGGAUGACGUCAAGUCAUCAUGGCCCUUUAUGUCCAGGGCGUACACACGUGCUACUAAUGGUCGGUACUAAACGGUCGCGAACUCGCGAGGGGAAGCUCAUCCGAUAAUAACCGGCCUCAGUACGGCAUAAGAGUCUGCGCACUCGACUCUGUUGAAGUCGGUCAUCACUAGUAAU
rnacentral:rRNA from 1 species